AACGCAUUUGCAGUGCAUAAUUAUUGAUGGCCAAUUGGGAGAUUAGGAGAUGGUCAAGCCUCUCAUGGAGGAAAUAGCUGCGUGCCAUGCUUAAUAUGCAGGUUGCAUGUUGGGAAAAUACAGGUCAGCCAAUGGGAAAGGAGGAACCCAAUGGGCAUACGUCGUGAUAAAGACGUCUUUUACUGGUUGAAAUCUGGUCGGGACGUCUUAUAACUAGAUCACAACCGGAUUAAGACAUCUUAUCAAUUCAUUAACACCAAUCUAUACAAACGUUAGCUAGUUUUAAGUAGCUAACGUUAGUCCUCUGGCUAAUCCUCCAUGGACAUGUUUCUGAAACAUAUAAGUGACCUGAUGCAUGGCCUCUACAGCAGUGCUUGGCCAGCCACUCAGUUACGAAUGACUUAUUCAGCCACAUUCCAGGGAGAGAGCAGAACCACCCCUCAUUCAAUCCAUAGUUACUGAAGAUCUGCCCCAUCACACCAGUCUUCAAGAGGGCCACUAUGCUCCAGAUCUGACCCAUCACACCACUCUUCAAGAGGGCCACUAUACUCCAGAUCUGACCCAUCACACCACUCUUCAAGAGGGCCACUAUGCUCCAGAUCUGACCCAUCACACCACUCUUCAAGAGGGCCACUACGUUCUAGAUCUGACCCAUCACACCAGUCUUCAAGAGGGCCACUAUGCUCCAGAUCUGACCCAUCACACCACUCUUCAAGAGGGCCACUACGUUCUAGAUCUGACCCAUCACACCAGUCUUCAAGAGGGCCACUGUGCUCCAGAUCUGACCCAUCACACCACAUUUCAAGAGGGCCACUAUGCUCCAGAUCUGACACAUCACACCAGUCUUCAAGAGGGCCACUAUGAUCUAUCACAAAUGUGA
rnacentral:lncRNA from 1 species